GGCGAACGGGUGAGUAACACGUAGAUGAUCUACCUAAGAGUUGGGGAUAGCUUGUGGAAACACAAGGUAAUACCGAAUACGCUUACGAGACUAUGGUUUUGUAAGGAAAGGGGCGUUUGCCCCGCUCUAUGAUGAGUCUGCGGCUGAUUAGCUAGUUGGUGGGGUAAAGGCUCACCAAGGCGACGAUCAGUAGCCGGCCUGAGAGGGUGUACGGCCACACUGGGACUGAGACACGGCCCAGACUCCUACGGGAGGCAGCAGCUAAGAAUCUUCCGCAAUGGGGGAAACCCUGACGGAGCGAUGCCGCGUGGAUGAAGAAUGUCGAGAGAUUGUAAAGUCCUUUUACUGAUGAGGAAUAAGGUCUGGAGGAAAUGCCAGGCUGAUGACGUUAGUCAGUGAAUAAGCCCCGGCCAAUUACGUGCCAGCAGCCGCGGUAACACGUAAGGGGCGAGCGUUGUUCGGAAUUAUUGGGCGUAAAGGGCGUGCAGGCGGUUUAACAAGUCUGGUGUGAAAGACCUGGGCUCAACUCAGGAAACGCGCUGGAAACUGUUAGACUAGAGUCUUGGAGGGGGAGUUGGAAUUCCUAGUGUAGGGGUGAAAUCUGUUGAUAUUAGGAAGAACACCGGUGGCGAAGGCGAACUCCUGGCCAAAGACUGACGCUGAGGCGCGAAAGCGUAGG
rnacentral:rRNA from 1 species